GACGGAGUGGGUGCCUGGUUUUUAUCUGUGGCAGUGUCUGCAUUCAGAUCUUUCUUUUCACACACACUGUGUGGUAGACGAGAUCGUAAUCCUGGUCUGGUGUUGUGUUUGGAUGUAACCACCGCUGGCCAGCCUCCAGGCUCCCGUACCCAU